GAUUGUAGGCUGCAACCCGCCUGCAUGAAGUUGGAAUUGCUAGUAAUCGCGGAUCAGCAUGCCGCGGUGAAUACGUUCCCGGGGAUUGUACACACCGCCCGUCACACCAUGAGAGUCGGGAACACCCAAAGUCCGUAGUCUAACCGCAAGGAGGACGCGGCCUAAGGUGGGUUCGAUAAUUGGGGUGAAGUCGUAACAAGGUACC
rnacentral:rRNA from 1 species